CUAGGUGGACACGAGGCAGCACAGCUAUGGAAGUCUACCGCUGUAAGGACUGUGAAAGCUGCAAAUGCAAGGAUGGGAUAAUUGAUUUUAACAACUGUACAAGAAUCGCUGAAAUACAGCACAAGAAAAACACUAUUCCAGGUGUAACAGUUGAGUUGACGGCCAAUGAAUCACACAUCACUGUUUGCUUUGAGCAAACAAAUUUCUGUCCUGAAGAAAUUUAUGGCAUCUCGGAUCAAAAUGAGCCACCAAAACUCUCGUGUGGCAUCCUGAAUUGUGGAGAAAACGGAGGAGGCAACAUCAGUUCUGAGAACCAGACUGUUUGCUGUGAAGCAGAGGCAGAUGCCUGGCGCUACAACCCUGACCUGAAGUGCUACGUUCAGAAGUCACAUCCAAAACACGCUGCACUGCCAGUUACCAUUCCUGGUAAUCCUGAAUUUCUCACCAGCAAAAAGAGCAGCCUUGGCAUCUUGCUGUCAUUCCUGUUUGUUGGGGUUUGCACAGGAUGGGGCACCAUGUAUUACUUCUUGCGGCUGCGGCGUCGCCAAGCUUCUAGGCAAGACAGAGAGGCUUCUGACAGAGAAAGGCUCACAGAUAACUAUCUGCAAUGGAGAAAACUCUGCCAGCAGCAUCCUCCUCUCUCACGAUGUACAGCAACCAGCUAAACACAGACUCAUUUUCCAUGGGAACUGCUGCCCUUGUAAUCCCAAAUCGUCCUGUUUUCACAAAGGUAGCUUCACCACAUCCACACCUUCUCCAAGCACUGUGACUCUUGUCCAGCUCCAGGCCUUUUGAGCAGCACAGGCAGCACCAGGAGCCCCCAUCCUCCUCUCCUUGGCUUGGCUGCAGACAGCAGCACCCCAGGGUGUGUGGCUGACUCAGCAGCACUGAAACCAGCUGAAUUCUCUCUGGGACAAAGUGGGAACAGCUCUGAAAUACUUCCCAUGCCCUCUGCAUGGCUGUCACUUGGUAAUGCCACAGCAGCACCCAGGUGUCUGCAUUGUUUGAAUUCUCAGGUCAUCUCUGCAUUCACCAAAGCCUUUUGCACCACAAGCUGGCUGGUAGGUUGAACUGGAACAGUUUGGAAGAGAUAUUUGAUGUUGCCCCCACCUGCAGGCUGAGGAAUGACUGAGUGUUCCUGUGCAGGGCUGGGUGGGAGGCUGUGUCCAGCUCCCUCAGGAAUGGCAUGGGGUCACAGAGGUCCCCAGGCUGAGCAGAACUCUGGAAUCAAUCUUCCUGACAAAUUAGGCAAGUUUAGACAGCAUGAGAUGAGUACAGCUCCUCAGGAAUCACUUUGGGUAUUUGGUAUCUUUAAAUCAUUCCCCAUUCCCACCUGAUUUGAAUAAAUCCUCAGCUUUUGCAUAGGAUCUAAUUUAC
rnacentral:lncRNA from 1 species